GCAGUCGAACGAGACCUUCGGGUCUAGUGGCUCACGGGUGCGGAACGCGUGGGAAUCUGCCCUUAGGUACGGAAUAACUCAGUAGAAAUUUGUGCUAAUACCGUAUGAUGUCAAACGACCAAAGAUUUAUCGCCUAAGGAUGAGCACCGCGUAAGAUUAGGUUGUUGGUGAGGUAAAAGCUCACCAAGGCGACUAUCUUUAGCUGGUCUGACAGGAUGAUCAACCACACUGGGACUGAAACACAGCCCAAACUCCUACGGGAGGUAGCCGUGGGGAAUAUUGGACAAUGGGCGAAAGCCUGAUCCAUCUAUGCCGCGUGAGUGAUGAAGGUCUUACGGUUGUAAAGGUCUUUUACCAGCGAUGAUAAUGACAAUACCUGUAGAAUAAACUCCGGCUAACUCCGUGCCAACCUCCGCGGUAAUACGGAGGGAGCUAACGUUGUUCGGAAUUACUGCGCGUCAAGAGUACCUAUGCUGCUAUUCAAGUCAGAGGUGAAAGCCUGUACCUCAACUCCAGAACUGCCUUUGAAACUAGAUAGAUAGAAUCUUGAACAGGUGAGUGGAAUUCCGAGUGUAGAGGUGAAAUUCGUAGAUAUUCUGAAGAACACCAGUGGCGAAUGCCACUCACUGGACAAGUAUUGACACUUAUGUACAAAAGCAUGGAGAGCAAACGCGAUUACAUACCCUGAUACUCCACGUCAUACACGAUGAUAACUAGCUGUUCGGGCUCUACA
rnacentral:rRNA from 1 species